rnacentral:tRNA from 1 species
GGCGGCGUAGCUCAGUUGGUAGAGCAGAGGAAUCAUAAUCCUCGGGUCAGGGGUUCAAGUCCCUUCGCCGCUA